CAGAGGUCUAUGAUGGUCGGACGUGAUAAACUCGUGCGCAGAAGAAAAUGCAGUCUAGAUUUGGCGCCCAGUGAAACCAAGUGAAACGGUGUGUGGGUAUAUGAAGGAUUGUGCAGAACUUGCCACCACGAAAACUCAGAGAAGCCUACGUUAUGCACUGUGGAACGCUCUGCGGAUGGACAGCUGUGGAAUCCACAAAGGUCAAAGAGGCUUUUGUUAUGAGGGCUGGAGGUUCCAAAACAUCCAUGAAGCUGGGGAUAAAAGAUGCAGAUUGACCAGCCCACGCUUUCAUCCACCA